rnacentral:rRNA from 1 species
GACGAACGCUGGCGGCGUGCUUAACACAUGCAAGUCGAACGGAAAGGCCCUGCUUUUGUGGGGUGCUCGAGUGGCGAACGGGUGAGUAACACGUGAGUAACCUGCCCUUGACUUUGGGAUAACUUCAGGAAACUGGGGCUAAUACCGGAUAGGAGCUACUGCUGCAUGGUGGGGGUUGGAAAGUUUCGGCGGUUGGGGAUGGACUCGCGGCUUAUCAGCUUGUUGGUGGGGUAGUGGCUUACCAAGGCUUUGACGGGUAGCCGGCCUGAGAGGGUGACCGGCGACAUUGGGACUGAGAGAAGGCCCAGACUCCUACGGGAGGCAGCAGGGGGGAAUACUGCACAAGGGGCGGAAGCCUGAUGCAGCAGCGCCGCGUGCGGGAUGGCGGCCUUCGGGUUGUAAACCGCUUUCGCCUGUGACGAAGCGUGAGUGACGGUAAUGGGUAAAGAAGCACCGGCUAACUACGUG